UCUUCUUCUUUUGUUGUCUUUCUUUUCUUUUGCAUUAACGCGGCAAUACCUCCUUCUUCUUUUUCUUCUUUUUUCCAGAUUUUUGGUUUAGAGGAUUAAGGGAUUGCUUACUUCCCUGUUUUCGGCGGGUGGUGGCAGGAAAUUUUUGUUAGGUAAUAGAUAUAUAUUUGUACUGUAGAAACUUUUAUAACAUAAAUUAAUGAGUUCGAUUCUAUUGAUGGACGCUGCUUGCUUUUUUUUUCCUAUGUUUCUUUAUGAAAUUCUUAGAGGCUCUUAUUGUUCUCUGUCACUGCAAUGCAAUCUUGAUGAGGGUUUGACAUGAAAUCUAAUGUUUGUAUCUAAUUCUUGAAAUCAUGAAAGCUUCCAAAAAGUGGGACCUAAUGAAGCCUUCUGGAUAUGAAAUUUUUAGGAUAUAGUAUCUAGCUCAUAUUUCUUGGAUGUUUUACUUAAUAAACUAAAUCAUCUACGUGAGCUAUGUUCUGUAAGUAAUCAAUAUGUGAAUUGUGCUGCUGCCUGCAGUUUGAUAGUAUACUUGCUUCGUCUUCAUUAUUUUUCCUGAUUUGGGAAGGUCUUUGUGAUUGUACUUUUUGAAUUUUAUAUGUUACUUAUAACGGCUUUUUGAAUUAAUCUACAUGAAUAUUUGAUUUUUCAAAUUUUUGAUUUAGAUUUUGUUAAUUAACUCUAUGUGAUUGCUUUACUUCCCUGUUUUGGUUUAGAUUUUUGGCUAGAAGUAAGCGAUUGCUUUACUUCUCUGUUUUGCCGUGGCUGAGAUCUCUGAGCACAUCACCAACAAGGUCUCCGAGCACUACAUGAAAAGGUAAAUGCUUGCUGCCACAAUAAUGUUCCUUUGACUAAUAGUGUUUUUAGUUCACUAGCGGGCUGGCUAAUUGAGUGUUCUUUCAUACUUUGCACCUAAUUAUGUGAUUUGUGAAAAUUUCUCAAUCUUUUGUGACAAUUGCACUAUGAAUGGUGACAAUAGCGAAUGAUUUAAAAUGAUGUUUCCACGCAUAUUUAUGUGGAGUAGUGAUUUGAGGAAUAUAUUAUAUCUUUAUAUGCUAUAAUUCAUGAGUUUAUUUGUAUGGUGAUGCUAAUAUGUAGUAAGGUGAUGUAUUUGAGCUCUACAUCUCUUUAUUUAGCCAAGCUAUGAGUUUUGUUUAGUUGAAGCAAGACAUGCCCUGCUGUCAAUUCUUGGCUGGACUGGACAGAGUGUUGCGGGAUACUUUUGGGGGUGUUCCCGUGGUUCAAAUCAGUUGAAAUUUUUACAGUAAUAACUUCAUUACGAGUAGUAAAUAUCUGCAAAAUUUCAGCUAAAUCCGAGACCCUUAGAUAUGUCAAAUAAUUUUCUGAAAAGUACUGCACGAAGCAACGAAGUUCAGUGGCAGAUUCUGCCUUUUGUGAUAUAAUUUCCUAUACACUUGAUAUAUGGUAUUUUUGUAACUUUCUACUAAAGAUAGACUUUAAUAGCUUUCUAAAAAGGUAAAUCUUGCAUUUUUCUUUGAAGUAAUUGAUUUUAUAUGAUUUUUCAAAGUUAGAAUUCAAAUGUAUAUGGUUCUUAAACUUGCGAGUGAUAAUUAGUUGAAAUUCUAAACUACUAAACUUGGAUUGAGUGUUUAUUUUCUUUUAACUUUUAUUUUAUUCUCACUUUAUUGUGCAUUAGAUUCUUUUGGAAUUAAUCGAGUGAGAUAUAAUGCAAUGUUUUGGUUUUCUGAACCUCUUGGAUUUUUUUUUGUUAGAUAACCAGCAGCCAUAUUUAGAGUACAAGGGGAUCAUAAGGUGGAGACUUUCUAUCUAAUUGCUGAAAAUUAGAUUUAAGUGAAACGAGUUCUCAAUUUCGCAUGUAAUGAAAUGCAAUUGUAGUAGGUUUUGUACUCUAAUUUUGGUUUAUAAAUCAACUUUUCUAAUUUUAGUGAUUUGGAAUACUUCCUUUUGAUUUACCUAUAUCUCUUUGUCUUAUUGUUAUUUCAGAAGGAGCUAUGUGUAUGACCCGGAAUGGAACAACUUUGCCUAAUAAGGAAUCUUUUGUAUGGGUUUAUUAGGCUUUUUCAACAUCAUUCAAAACCCCAUACAGUGUUAGCCGGACAACUGGAGGAGUCUCACAUUUGUUUGCAAACGCUGCAAACAAAUGAAUCAUUUCUCUGUCUUUCUUAAUUUUGUUAACUUUUGAUUUUGUCAACUCAAAACUAUAAUUUGCAAUACAUAAUUUAUAAUCACAUAUGGGGUGACAGGAAGGCACGAGCUAACAUGUGACUUCAAAGAAUUCAUAUUCGAACUCUUAGUAGCAUGGAUUAUUACGUUUAGCAUUAUUUAGACAAUAUUAUUUUAUAAAAUAUUUUUAUAAUUUGUUUGAAUAAAAAUUAUUAUCUAUCAUUGUUUGACAUAUAAUAUAGACAUUUUCUAUUAUAAGUUUGACCUCUCAUAUUAACACUUAUUUUUUUGAAAAAUAUCUAUAAUUUAUAUAUAUAUUAUAUGAAAUAAUUUUACGUUCUUUUUUUCUUAUAAAUUAUAACAUUAAAUGAUUUUC
rnacentral:lncRNA from 1 species